rnacentral:rRNA from 1 species
GACGAAGGGGGCUAGCGUUGUUCGGAAUUACUGGGCGUAAAGCGAGUGUAGGCGGUUGUCCUAGUCAGGUGUGAAAGCCUUGAGCUCAACUCAAGAAAUGCACUUGAUACUGGGCGACUAGAGGACCGGAGAGGAUAGUGGAAUUCCCAGUGUAGUGGUGAAAUACGUAGAGAUUGGGAAGAACACCAGUGGCGAAGGCGGCUAUCUGGACGGUUACUGACGCUAAGACUCGAAAGCGUGGGGAGCAAACAGG